AGCUUUGCAAAGACACUGCUUGGAAGUGGACUGCGCAGGCUUCUUAGAUAUGUAGCCAUCUUCUGGGACCUGCCAGUCUUGGAGAGAGAGAAGAUCCAGAAUUCUAUAAGCCGCAAACACACUGUAUUAGAGCAGGCUGAGAUCAGAUGGCUGGGGAGAAAUACAGAUGGAUGGAGUUAAGUAUGGGCGAAAUCAACGUUUCCAGAUGCACAGGGUGGACUAAGGGUGCUGUUCUUUUUGAUGAAGAGCAAGGACAAGAAGCAUCUCUUGUGAAUCACUAGGCAGGUGUUUGCUCUCUGGGGAAGUGACAGGAAACUCAUCCCUGACCCGAGGUUACUGGGAGGAAAGAGCUUCUUUUGGUUUUGUUUCUCUGCUUGGUGUACAAGUCAGUGCCCUGUCUAGGGAAGAAGAACGCAGAUGAUCCUUGGAUGUCCCCAAGGGAAGAAUGACCACUCUAUUACAGAAUUAAGGUCAUCUAGAGAUCCUGUU
rnacentral:lncRNA from 1 species